rnacentral:rRNA from 1 species
ACUGAACGCUGGCGGCAGGCUUAACACAUGCAAGUCGAGCGGGGGAAGGUAGCUUGCUACCGGACCUAGCGGCGGACUGGUGAGUAAUGCUUAGGAAUCUGCCUAUUAGUGGGGGACAACAUCUCGAAAGGGAUGCUAAUACCGCAUACGUCCUACGGGAGAAAGCAGGGGAGCUUCGGACCUUGCGCUAAUAGAUAAGCCUAAGUCGGAUUAGCUAGUUGGUGUGGUAAAGGCCUACCAAGGCGACGAGCUGUAGCGGGUCUGAGAGGAGGAUCCGCCACACUGGGACUGAGACACGGCCCAGAAUCCUACGGGAGGCAGCAGUGGGGAAUAUUGGACAAUGGGGGGAACCCUGAUCCAGCCAUGCCGCGUGUGUGAAGAAGGCCUUAUGGUUGUAAAGCACUUUAAGCGAGGAGGAGGCUACUCUAGUUAAAACCUAGGGAUAGUGGACGUUACUCGCAGAAUAAGCACCGGCUAACUCUGUGCCAGCCGCCGCAGUAA